AGUGGUGAGUUUAACAACACUCAACUGCAGGUAAAACAGCACUCAGCGGUGAGUUUGACCAAAGCAACACUCAACUGCAGGGAAAACGGCAUAAAAAGGUGAGUUUAACAACGCUCCAAGGCGCGUGCAAGUAAGCAGUUUAACCGUUUUCUUACACACCAUUCUCGCUUAUCGCUUAUUCAUAGUUCAUCAUCUCUAUGAAAUCACGUUCAAGAAGUCUCAUUCAGCACACAUCGCGAUACUUGCCAUCAGUUUCCAUGUGCCACAGGGUCGAUGUAAAGGAAGCAGUCAUCCCUGUGGUGUUUGUGGAGAGGUUUUCCUUCAGAAAUGAAGAAGACAAAAAGCUGCGGAGGCAGACAUUUGCAGCAGAUUGUUCGCAGAUAAUGAUGUUCUUCUCGAUCAUGCACAAGGACUCACCUCUUUAACUCUUUAUCUUCCCAACACACACAGAAAUGCUCCCUUGAUUAGUGUUUAGACUUUGCAGUGCAGUUUUGUUUUAGUUCUAAGCUUAUAAUGAAUACAUUGUGACCUUCCAGCAACCCAUAUAUUGUAUACAGAACCAGUGAUCAAAACAAUGGUUGAAAAUAGUAUUUUUAUAUUGAUAAAGCAUUGUGUUCUCUUUUUCAAGCUUCAUACAGUAAACUUUACUUCUGGUGCUUUUAUCAUAAAAAAACAAACAUCAGUUCUCAUCAGGAGUUUUCGUAAAGGACGUAUUCAUGCACAGCCAUCCCCUAGUUCCAGUCAUGAAGUGAAUGAUGUUAUUGUCAGUUUUAUUUCUGCAUUUUUAUGUAGCAGGUGUUUGUUUUCCUGAACGUUAUCUUUCUUCCUUUGUUCGGACAAUCAGUGUUUAUUUGAUGCUGUGCUGAUGGAGGUUUAUAGAUGAUAUUGCACACUUGACAUGCAUGUCUUCAUGGUCUUUAUUUUCUGAGUUUGAAACAGUGUGUUGUAUCACUUUUUGGUCAAAUAAAUUCUUCAGUGUUCUCUGAAA